CUUUAUAGUUGGUAUCAGAGCUGCGUUUCUUGGAACCAUUCCUUACACAAAGACUUAAAAACACCAAAAAAUAAACUAUCUUUCAACCCUUCCUUGUGAAAUAAGGUACAAAAAAAUGAGAGGAAGACCCCUACUAAACUGAGUAGCCCAGGAUGGCUCAUUUCGAAAGGAUGUUGACCGACUCUUUGAGAUGCUAGAGUGACUUAUCUCUGCCCAACAAGCUUAAGGGGAAAGGAAGGAGCUGCUUGACCCUCCUCUACUGCUACAAUUUGAGCCACCCUUGUAGCGAGAAGAUUUGG
rnacentral:lncRNA from 1 species